rnacentral:misc_RNA from 1 species
UCUCACACACACACACACACACAUUCUGCCUCUCUGUCUUCUUGUUCUGCAACCAUCAACACCCCAUAGCAACCCUGGGAAACCCAGAACAAAAGGUUCUGUGGGAAUUGAUCCACAAUUGUAACUGCCAUCAUAAGCACAAAUCUAAAACACAAAAUCAACAAUUUUUUGAAUAAAAGUUGUUGAUUUCAGGAGAGAAAAAUCUCAGUUUCCUCUCUUCUUUCUCUUCUAAUGCUAUCCAUGACAAUGGAUUUUACAAUCUCACCAUUGAUCAAGGCUCUCCAAGCAUCAUCCAUGGCCCUUCCUAGGCCAUGGUGAUGACACCAAAGAUAGUUGCCAAAAAUUUAUCAGAUUCGCCAUUAAAGAAAUACUUCAUCAUUCUCCAUGAGAGAAAGUUGCUUUAAUUACUUACAAUGAGUGUAUGCUGCAUUACUCAAACCAAGAUAUCUUCUCUUUGGUGCAAACAAAGCCCAUUUUAUAGCUGUUGAAUAUGCGAGAAGUUUCAGAGCCCA